rnacentral:lncRNA from 1 species
UGGAUAGCAAAUAGUUAGCAUGCAAUUGUAUCAAUGAAACUGGGUUACCAUAUCAUAUGAUUGAUAAUGAUGCUAAUAAUAACAAUCAGUAAGCAAACAUCUCCAUAUUAUGCCUAAUAAUAACUGAAUCAACACUUUUCAUAUUUUCCUCUCUUUUUCCUAGACCAGUUAAACAUAUUUGUCAGCUAUAAUUUCCUAACUCAAAGAAGCAUACUUUUCAUGAGCAACCUAAAGUAUCUCUUCUACAAACGUUCACUCAGUCAUUUUUACAAACAUAUUGUGAGCCUAAGCUGAAGUCGUCUUGAUGAGCACCUCCCUAUGAUAGCUGUAAAUGUUUUUUUGGGAAGAGAAACAAAGAAAGAAAUUGAGAAAAAAUCUAGAGUUGAAGGUAGCUUAGCAAACCCAAUAAAUUUCCUAAAUUUGAAAGGUUACUAGUAGUAUAUGAAAGGCAAAAGCAGAACACAAUAAUGAAAAAGACUACAACGUACCCGAAUGAAUUUAGAAGCUCUCGAAAACUUAGUAUUGAGUUGAUUCGACUGUCUAUGGCUUCUACAUGCUCUGUGACCUUUCUCCAGUUGAUCACCUACACUUUUAAUAAUGCAGGUCUGAGUGAGUAGGAUUGAUCGUCAUGCUUAUAAGUUAUGUGCUUCUCAUAUUGGAAAUGGAGAUCAACGUCGUCGUUAGGAAGUUGAUGAACUGCAUCAAGUUCAGCUGCCGCCGACAAUUUUGCCGGGUGGAUUGAUUUGGGCGGCGGUGAUCAAAUUUUUUUGAGUUUUAAAAACUACGUCGUUUUCAAAUACUAGAAAUUG